rnacentral:tRNA from 1 species
GCCACUGUGGCGUAGUGGUUUGAGUGUUGGACUUCAACUCUGGAGACCAGGGUUCGAUUCCCAGCUCAGCCA